UUCUAUGACGCUAGCGGCGGACGGGUGAGUAACACGUGGGCAACCUGCCUGUAAGACUGGGAUAACUUCGGGAAACCGAAGCUAAUACCGGAUAGGAUCUUCUCCUUCAUGGGAGAUGAUUGAAAGAUGGUUUCGGCUAUCACUUACAGAUGGGCCCGCGGUGCAUUAGCUAGUUGGUGAGGUAACGGCUCACCAAGGCAACGAUGCAUAGCCGACCUGAGAGGGUGAUCGGCCACACUGGGACUGAGACACGGCCCAGACUCCUACGGGAGGCAGCAGUAGGGAAUCUUCCGCAAUGGACGAAAGUCUGACGGAGCAACGCCGCGUGAGUGAUGAAGGCUUUCGGGUCGUAAAACUCUGUUGUUAGGGAAGAACAAGUACAAGAGUAACUGCUUGUACCUUGACGGUACCUAACCAGAAAGCCACGGCUAACUACGUGCCAGCAGCCGCGGUAAUACGUAGGUGGCAAGCGUUAUCCGGAAUUAUUGGGCGUAAAGCGCGCGCAGGCGGUUUCUUAAGUCUGAUGUGAAAGCCCACGGCUCAACCGUGGAGGGUCA
rnacentral:rRNA from 1 species